UGGUGAAAUGAAACUUGAAGGCCUUUUUAAUUGUUAUCUGUGGAAACAUCCCAGAAGCAGUAAUGUGCAGCCUAAGUGUGUAGCUAGUGGUUGUCUGCUCAAUGAUUGAGGAUUACUGCAUACAGUAAACUAGAUCUGUGCAUAGGAAAUGAGAAAUUUGAGCCUUAGCAAAACAUUACCUGGGAGAAAACACACCAUCACUUUUUAGAAAGUUAAUUCUAAUGUGAUUCCUGAGCAACAGACUCAAUGUGAGAUCAAGGAUUCACCUGCUUUCUUUUUGGAGAAAAACAUGAAAGCUGGAAUGAAGUUUUAUUGGAAGUGAUGCUUUUUCAUUGUCAGCAACAGGCAAAUGAGUGCUGGAGUGACAGAAGGAGUCCAUCAAAGGCUGAGAUGAAGCUGUAACAUCCUGCCUGGAAAUGGGAGCCUUUCCAUCCGAGUGCUGAUGGACCAUCAGACUCACUCUGCCAAAGAGAAAAGUUAAUCUGCAAUAACUGGGGCUCAGGUUUGAGGCCAGACCACUUCUGCUCACCAGCAAUGACCGCCUCUACAGAAGCUGUCAGCAGAGGUCCCUAUGGUCUGCUGAAACCUGGAGCUCCCCUUUUCUUCCCAGGAUAUGAAGAUGGACAUAAAUGUAAGUUAAAAGAUGAAGCACAUUGAAGGGUGGAGAGCUGUG